CCUACGGGUGGCUGCAGUGGGGAAUAUUGGACAAUGGGGGCAACCCUGAUCCAGCCAUGCCGCGUGUGUGAAGAAGGCCCUCGGGUUGUAAAGCACUUUCAGUGAGGAAGAACGCCUGGUGGUUAAUACCCAUCAGGAAAGACAUCACUCACAGAAGAAGCACCGGCUAACUCCGUGCCAGCAGCCGCGGUAAUACGGAGGGUGCGAGCGUUGAUCGGAAUUACUGGGCGUAAAGCGCGCGUAGGUGGCUUGAUAAGCCGGUUGUGAAAGCCCCGGGCUCAACCUGGGAACGGCAUCCGGAACUGUCAAGCUAGAGUGCAGGAGAGGAAGGUAGAAUUCCCGGUGUAGCGGUGAAAUGCGUAGAGAUCGGGAGGAAUACCAGUGGCGAAGGCGGCCUUCUGGACUGACACUGACACUGAGGUGCGAAAGCGUGGGUAGCAAACAGGAUUAGAUACCCUUGUAGUC
rnacentral:rRNA from 1 species